rnacentral:rRNA from 1 species
UACGUAGGGUGCAGGCGUUAAUCGGAAUUACUGGGCGUAAAGCGUGCGCAGGCGGUCUGUUAAGAGAGAUGUGAAAUCCCCGGGCUUAACCUGGGAACUGCGUUUCUAACUGGCAGGCUAGAGUGUGGCAGAGGGGGGUGGAAUUCCACGUGUAGCAGUGAAAUGCGUAGAGAUGUGGAGGAACACCGAUGGCGAAGGCAGCCCCCUGGGCGUAACACUGACGCUCAUGCACGAAAGGCGU